AUUGAACGCUGGCGGCAUGCCUUACACAUGCAAGUCGAACGGUAACAGGUCUUCGGAUGCUGACGAGUGGCGAACGGGUGAGUAAUACAUCGGAACGUGCCUAGUAGUGGGGGAUAACUACUCGAAAGAGUGGCUAAUACCGCAUGAGAUCUACGGAUGAAAGCAGGGGAUCGCAAGACCUUGUGCUACUAGAGCGGCCGAUGGCAGAUUAGGUAGUUGGUGGGAUAAAAGCUUACCAAGCCGACGAUCUGUAGCUGGUCUGAGAGGACGAUCAGACACACUGGGACUGAGACACGGCCCAGACUCCUACGGGAGGCAGCAGUGGGGAAUUUUGGACAAUGGGCGAAAGCCUGAUCCAGCAAUGCCGCGUGCAGGAUGAAGGCCUUCGGGUUGUAAACUGCUUUUGUACGGAACGAAAAGCCCCGGGUUAAUACCCUGGGGUCAUGACGGUACCGUAAGAAUAAGCACCGGCUAACUACGCGCCAGCAGCCGCCGUAA
rnacentral:rRNA from 1 species